UACGGGGGGGGCGAGCGUUGUUCGGAAUUACUGGGCGUAAAGGGUUUGUAGGUGGCCUGCUAAGUCAGACGUGAAAUCCCUCAGCUUAACUGGGGAACUGCGUCUGAUACUGGCGAGCUUGAGGACAGGAGAGGAACGCGGAAUUCCAGGUGUAGCGGUGAAAUGCGUAGAUAUCUGGAGGAACACCGGUGGCGAAGGCGGCGUUCUGGACUGUUUCUGACACUGAAAAACGAAAGCCAGGGGAGCAAACGGG
rnacentral:rRNA from 1 species